CGACGCGAACGAUAGUCUGCCGCUAAACGUUUCGGGUGAUCAUCCGCGAGGGACCUACCCCGUGCGCGCGAGCGAGAGUAUAAAUCGUAUAGUUUUUAUUAUUAUUAUACGCUUCUGUUGCCGCCGCCGCCCAAGUCUUUCGAUAUCAGGUCGUCCUUUUCCGUUGCAUAUACCAUUUGAUAUCUUUGGCAUCAUCGUCAUUAUCAUUGAAGUGCCGUUACUGCUGUUUUCCGAUCAAAACAAUACAGCCGGUUAUUAUUAUAUCCGGUAUAG